rnacentral:rRNA from 1 species
GUGGCGCACGGGUGAGUAACGCGUGGAUAUCUGCCUUUUGGUUCGGAAUAACUCCGGGAAACUGGAGCUAAUACCGGAUGGUUCCUACGGGAUAAAGAUUUAUCGCCAAAAGAUGAGUCCGCGUACGAUUAGCUAGUUGGUGGGGUAAUGGCCCACCAAGGCGACGAUCGUUAGCUGGUCUGAGAGGACGAUCAGCCACACUGGGACUGAGACACGGCCCAAACUCCUACGGGAGGCAGCAGUGGGGAAUAUUGGACAAUGGGGGCAACCCUGAUCCAGCCAUGCCGCGUGAGUGAUGAAGGCCUUCGGGUUGUAAAGCUCUUUUGGCGGGGACGAUGAUGACGGUACCCGCAGAAUAAGCCCCGGCUAACUUCGUGCCAGCAGCCGCGGUAAGACGAAGGGGGCUAGCGUUGUUCGGAAUUACUGGGCGUAAAGCGAGUGUAGGUGGUUGCCAUAGUCAGGUGUGAAAGCCUUGAGCUCAACUCAAGAAAUGCACUUGAUACUGGGCGACUAGAGGACCGGAGAGGAUAGUGGAAUUCCCAGUGUAGUGGUGAAAUACGUAGAGAUUGGGAAGAACACCAGUGGCGAAGGCGGCUAUCUGGACGGUUACUGACACUAAGACUCGAAAGCGUGGGGAGCAAACAGGAUUAGAUACCCUGGUAGUCCAC